GACAAAAUUGCUCAACAUUUUAGGGGGUUAAACUGUACGUUAUAUGUGCCCUUUUGUAAAUUCAUAAGCGUAUAGCUUUUCCCCUUAAAAGUUGAAGCAACAGCAA
rnacentral:miRNA from 14 species